CCGAUCAGGUGAGUACAAAAUAGUCCAAUUUUGUCCCAUCCCAUGUGUAUGUUAGGAUGUUAGCAGUCUGGUUUUCAUGCCUUAUCUGAACAAUUGAAAUAUAUAAUGCAAAGUGGCACCAAAUGUGUAGUUAGUGUCAAAAGACCUUCAUAAUUUGGACUGCUAAUUCUUGUGGAUUAUCUGUUUGAUUGAAACCGCUGUGCAUUGCCAACAUAUUUCGUCCACUAAUUUUGCUCUUGGAUUCUGGCUGUAUUUCUUUCUUUCCAAAUUUGAUUGUGUCAUUCUUGUAAUUUCUUUACCAUGCUAUGCAGAAUGAAUCAUCUUUUGAUGGUGCUCAAGUCAUGGGCAUAGAUGCAUCUAACCAAAUAAUACUUGCUUCUGGAAGGCACCUGGUGUAGGUGGAGAACAUGUUCUUAGAGAGGUACAUUUAAAUCUCGUUCUUUGCCAAAUUAAUGGCUACCACCACUAAAUUUUUGCAACACCUUAUUGUAACAUGAUGGGCAGCAGUUCUAUGUCCCCUCUCCGAGCUGCUCUUUCAUGGUACUAGUUCCUCGGAGCAAUCCUUAUAUAUCUUGUAUAUCUUAAUUACUUCCUAUUUACAGCUAGGUAUUUGGCUUGCUAGGUAAAGCAAAGGAACCAUAUUGAUACUCACGAUGAACUUAAUUAGCAAAGUUAAAAUUCUGUUCAAAAUUCAGAACUGAUAUGAUUUAUUGUAUUUGUACAUGCUUUGCAUAUUGAUGAUUUGGUAAGCAUCGCUACACUGGGCAUGACCAAUUGCUUAAAAGAAGGUCUCUAUCAUAUUGAUGAUCUGUCAAAAUGUACGUGUAGAUAUUCUGCACAUUCUGGUUCAUGCCACUACUUAAUUAAGGUCUUCUUUUAUGAGGUUCUGCCUUGUGCAAAUAAUAUGAUUAUUUAGCAGCUUGGUUUCAUGGCUUUGGAUCUCAUGUGAAUAAACUAUAUAUUAAGUGUUUGCUGUUCUUUGCUUAAUAAUAAUAAUAGUAACUUUGGAAAUUACAAGCUUCAGUACAAAGAUGCCAAAGUUUUGAUAUAAAUUGUACUAACUCAUAAUGGUGGCUUCUAAUUAUAGUGAACUAGAUAGGCGCUCACAUGCUAGUGGGCUUCGGUGGCAUUUUGAGCUCUUGGCUGUUGUCUUUAACUGCCAAUGCGUAGCGGCCAACAAAAUUAGCUCUAGUGCUUUGUGUGAACUUAUGGUGGUUAUUUACUUUAUUUCAUUGUACACUGCAUUGUGCUAUAUAUGUUCCAUAAGUAUAAACAUGCUAUGCUUGGCAUGCGGUUUUGGGGAAAAAGGAAGCAUCGCAUGUGUACAAAUCGUUUGACCUGCAUUUUACUACUUGCUAUUUACUAUACAUCGAAAUUGUACUUGUAAGUGUAAAAAUUUGUCUGCGGUUAAAAAAGUUUUGUAUCAAGCUUGUAAGUUUUGUCACAAGGAUGAGAUUGUUUAAUACUACAAAACUUCAUACCUUUGCUUUCAUAAUUUCUGUAUACGAAACCAUUCUAAACUAAACCAACUAGAUCCGAUCCUUAUCUGUUCAUAAUUUUUUUCUCUGUGGUUCAAAAAGUUAAUUGACGUCUACAAAGUUGUACUAAAGUUGCAUCAAUUAAUUUGGGUAUUAGGGAGUAUCAAUCUUGUAAGUUUUGUCACAAGGAUGAGAUUGUUGAAUGCUACUCCCUCCAUUCUGAAUUACUUGUCGCAGGUAUGGAUGUAUCUAGAUGUAUUUUAGUUUUAGAUACAUCCAUUUUUGUGACAAGUAAUUUGGAACGGAGGGAGUACAAAACUUCAUACCUUUGCUUCAUGUUCUUGAUGUUUGAACUGGGGAUCCCAUGAAAUUCUUUUUUGUAACAUGGUUCUCAUCUCUGAACAUCCUCAGCUUUCCAUUUUUAGAAUUUUUUAAAACAAAAUACGGCAAUUGACAUCUGUUUCGUUAGCUUUUUAUACUAAUGUUUUACUUCUCCGAACUAAAUUUUUGCAAAUUACAUCGAUCUAGUUGCAGGUCUUUGUAUAUUUCCACAAUUAUGGAGGGUGUGGUUUAGCUGUGUUUUUCAGAGCAUUGCAAGUUUGGUGACUCUUCUGGGGGAGUCAUGUGGCUCUUUUUGAAUGAUGGCGUUUCAUAGGAUGGUGGCAAGUCUGGUAUUUAGAAGACAUUUUAUGAAGCCUGAGGAAGUCCUGGAUUAGGGGGUGUUCGGAUAGCCGGAACUAUACCUUCGGCCGGACUCCUGGGCUAUGAAGAUAUAAGAUUGAAAAUUUCGUCCCGUGUCUGGAAGGGACUUUUCUUGGCGUGGAAGGCAAGCUUGGCGAUACGGAUAUGUAGAUCUCCUACCAUUGUAACCGACUCUGUGUAACCCUAGCCCUCUUCGGUGUUUAUAUAAACUGGAGGGUUUUAGUCCGUAGGAACAACCAUCAUACCAUAGGCUAGCUUUUAGGGUUUAGCUUCCUUAAUCUCGUGGUAGAUCUACUCUUGUACUACCCAUAUCAUCAAUAUUAAUCAAGCAGGAGUAGGGUUUUACCUCUAUCGAGAGGGCCCGAACCUGGGUAAAAACAUCGUGUCCUUUGUCUUCUGUUACCAUCCGUCUAG
rnacentral:lncRNA from 1 species